rnacentral:rRNA from 1 species
AUUGAACGCUGGCGGCAUGCCUUACACAUGCAAGUCGAACGGCAGCACGGACUUCGGUCUGGUGGCGAGUGGCGAACGGGUGAGUAACAUAUCGGAACAUACCCUAGAGUGGGGAUAACGUAGCGAAAGUUACGCUAAUACCGCAUACGAUCUAAGGAUGAAAGUGGGGGAUCUUCGGACCUCAUGCUCAUGGAGUGGCCGAUAUCUGAUUAGCUAGUUGGUGAGGUAAAGGCUCACCAAGGCGACGAUCAGUAGCUGGUUUGAGAGAACGACCAGCCACACUGGAACUGAGACACGGUCCAGACUCCUACGGGAGGCAGCAGUGGGGAAUUUUGGACAAUGGGGGGCAACCCUGAUCCAGCAAUGCCGCGUGAGUGAAGAAGGCC